rnacentral:rRNA from 1 species
AUGCAGAGCCCAAGUCGCAUCGGCCGGAAGCAGCCAAACCUAGCCGUCACGGAUCCGAGUGCGUCCAGCGCCGCCGCUGCGGCUGCCGGGAUGGAGCCGGAGCUCGACAGCACCAAAGCCGCCGCCGGCAACCGCAAGCACCUGGCCAUGCUCGAGCGCCUCUCCAAGCGCACCGCCGCCUCCUCCGCGGGCUCCCCCGAGGCGUCCCCCGUCGCCGCCUUCCUCUCUCGGUUCGCCGCAGCCAAGGCCGCCGCGGAGACCGCCCUCUCCGCCUGCCGCUCCUCCCCCGACGGCGCUGCCGCCUCCCUCGCCGCGGCCUCAUCCGCCGUCGACGACCUCGAGCGCCUCGUCGCGGAGGCCUCCCACUCCCUCCCGCCGUACGAGCUCCGGUCCGCGCUCGCCGCCGUCUCCGACCUCCGCGCCGCCCACAAGCUCGCCGCCUCCGAGAUCCGGCCCAAGAAGUCAUUCUCCUUCAGGAACAAGAGCAAAGCCACCAAGAACCCCCCGCAGGAUCCUCCCGCCCUGCCCCAGCCGCCCCAGGAGCAGCCAAAGCCUAACCCCGAUGCGAUCCUGCCAGGGUUUGGGUUCAGGAGCAGGAAUGGCGCUACCUUGGUGAGGGAUCUGAGAGCUGCCAACGAGAAGGAUGGGGAUUUCACGCUUGCUGAUCUUGUUUCCUGUGAGGUUUACCUCAAGGGCAAAUGCCGGGCGCUGUACAUUCACAAGUUGAGAGAUUGCCGCGUCUUCAUUGGCCCUGUUUUCGGCUCAGUCCUCAUAGAGGAUGUUGAGCGCUGUACAUUUGUGAUGGCGGCGCAUCAGAUCAGGAUUCACGAAGCGAGGGCAACAGAUUUCUACCUGCGGGUGAGGAGCAGGCCGAUCAUCGAGGACUGCAGCGGUGUGAGAUUUGCACCACAUGCUUUGAAGUAUGAAGGGAUUGAAGAUGAUCUGAGGGAUUCUGGGCUUGCUGAGGACACUGGUAACUGGGUCAAUGUGGAUGACUUCAAAUGGCUCAGGGCAGUGCAGUCACCAAACUGGUGCUUGGUUCCCGAGGAAGAGCGUCUGCCGAUUGUCGACAUUUCAGAAGUUCAGGAAAAGGAGGAUUGA